rnacentral:rRNA from 1 species
AACGAACGCUGGCGGCAUGCCUAACACAUGCAAGUCGAACGAGACCUUCGGGUCUAGUGGCGCACGGGUGCGUAACGCGUGGGAACCUGCCUUUAGGUUCGGAAUAACUCAGAGAAGUUUGAGCUAAUACCGGUUGAUGUCUUCGGACCAAAGAUUUAUCGCCUUUAGAUGGGCCCGCGUUGGAUUAGCUAGUUGGUGGGGUAAAGGCCUACCAAGGCGACGAUCCAUAGCUGGUCUGAGAGGAUGAUCAGCCACACUGGGACUGAGACACGGCCCAGACUCCUACGGGAGGCAGCAGUGUGGAAUAUUGGACAAUGGGCGAAAGCCUGAUCCAGCAAUGCCGCGUGAGUGAUGAAGGCCUUAGGGUUGUAAAGCUCUUUUACCCGAGAUGAUAAUGACAGUAUCGGGAGAAUAAGCUCCGGCUAACUCCGUG